rnacentral:rRNA from 1 species
GAGUUUGAUCGUGGCUCAGGACAAACGCUGGCGGCGUGCAUAAAACAUGCAAGUCGAACGGACCAAAGCCCGCAAGGGCUGAGGUUAGUGGCGAACGGCUGAGUAACACGUAGGUGACCUGCCCUGAAGUGGGGGACAACUCGUCGAAAGACGAGCUAAUACCGCAUGUGAUCACUGAUUCAUUUCAGUGCUCAAAGUCGUAAGACGCUUUAGGAGGGGCCUGCGGCCGAUUAGCUAGUUGGUGGGGUAAUGGCCUACCAAGGCUGCGAUCGGUAGUUGGUCUGAGAGGAUGACCAGCCAGACUGGGACUGAGACACGGCCCAGACUCCUACGGGAGGCAGCAGUUAGGAAUUUUGUGCAAUGGGGGAAACCCUGACACAGCCACGCCGCGUGCGGGAUGAAGGCC